rnacentral:sRNA from 1 species
GGGUGGGGGCCCAGGUGGCCUGGUCGUGGGCGGGGGGCAGGAGGAAGAGGAGGAGGAAGAAGAAGAGGCCCCUGUGUCCGUCUGGGAUGAGGAGGAGGAUGGUGCCGUGUUUACUGUCACAAGCCGCCAAUAUCGACCUCUUGAUCCCUUGGUCCCUAUGCCUCCCCCACGUUCCUCCCGACGUCUCCGAGCUGGCACUCUGGAGGCCCUGGUCAGACACCUACUGGAUACCCGGACAUCAGGGACUGAUGUGACCUUCAUGUCAGCCUUCCUGGCCACCCACCGGGCCUUCACCUCCACGCCUGCCUUGCUAGGGCUUAUGGCUGACAGGCUGGAAGCCCUUGAAUCUCAUCCUACCGACGAACUAGAGAGGACAACAGAGGUAGCCAUCUCUGUACUGUCAACCUGGCUGGCCUCUCACCCUGAGGAUUUUGGCUCUGAGGCCAAGGGUCAGCUUGACCGGCUUGAGAGCUUCUUACUUCAGACAGGGUAUGCAGCAGGGAAGGGUGUUGGGGGGGGCAGCGCUGACCUCAUCCGCAACCUCCGGUCCCGGGUGGACCCCCAGGCCCCCGACCUUCCUAAGCCCCUGGCCCUCCCCGGCGAUCCCCCUGCUGACCCCACGGAUGUCCUGGUGUUCCUCGCUGACCACUUGGCCGAACAGCUGACCCUGCUAGAUGCGGAGCUUUUUCUCAAUUUGAUCCCCUCUCAGUGCCUGGGAGGCCUGUGGGGUCACAGAGACCGGCCAGGACAUUCUCACCUCUGUCCAUCUGUCCGAGCUACUGUCACACAGUUCAACAAGGUGGCAGGGGCAGUGGUUAGUUCUGUCCUGGGGGCUACUUCCACUGGAGAGGGACCUGGGGAGGUGACCAUACGGCCACUCCGUCCCCCUCAGAGGGCCCGGCUCCUGGAGAAGUGGAUCCGCGUGGCAGAGGAGUGCCGGCUGCUCCGAAACUUCUCUUCAGUUUAUGCCGUGGUGUCAGCCCUGCAGUCCAGCCCCAUCCACAGGCUUCGGGCAGCCUGGGGGGAAGCAACCAGGGACAGCCUCAGAGUCUUUUCCAGUCUCUGCCAGAUUUUCUCCGAGGAGGAUAAUUAUUCCCAGAGUCGGGAGCUGCUCGUGCAGGUAAGAGCCUGGUUUGUGGCAUUCCCACCUCUCCCUGCUCCCUACUGCUCCCCCAUGUCUCUAUUUUGUCACCACCAGGAGGUGAAGCUGCAGUCUCCUCUGGAGCCACACUCCAAGAAGGCCCCGAGGUCUGGCUCCCGGGGUGGGGGUGUGGUCCCAUACCUUGGCACCUUCCUGAAGGACCUUGUGAUGCUGGAUGCAGCCUCCAAGGAUGAGUUGGAGAAUGGAUACAUCAAUUUUGACAAGCGGAGGAAGGAGUUUGCAGUCCUUUCUGAGUUGCGACGGCUCCAGAAUGAAUGUCGUGGCUAUAACCUCCAACCUGACCAUGAUAUCCAGAGGUGGCUACAGGGGCUCCGGCCACUGACAGAGGCUCAGAGCCAUCGUGUAUCCUGUGAGGUGGAGCCACCUGGUUCCAGUGACCCUCCUGCCCCACGGGUGCUUCGGCCAACACUGGUCAUCUCGCAGUGGACAGAGUGAGAGAUUCACUGGCUGGGGGGUGGUUUCUUGGGACUUCCACUUUUCUUCUGAUCCUCCCAACCUCCUGCCACUGCAGGGUUCUGGGCUCUGUUGGGGUCCCUACCCCACUUGUGUCCUGUGACCGGCCCAGUAUCGGGGGAGAUGAGGCGCCUACAACUCCUGCUCCUCUGCUGACUCGGCUGGCCCAGCACAUGAAGUGGCCAUCUGUCUCGUCACUAGACUCUGCCCUGGAAAGCAGUCCAUCCCUGCACAGUCCAGCUGACCCCAGCCACCUCUCCCCACCAGCCUCCUCCCCUAGGCCUUCUCGAGGUCACCGCCGCUCAGCCUCCUGUGGCUCCCCGCUGAGUGGGGGUGCAGAAGAGGCCUCCGGGGGGACUGGAUAUGGGGGAGGGGGAUCUGGGCCAGGGGCCUCUGAUUGCCGCAUCAUCCGAGUCCAGAUGGAGCUGGGGGAAGAUGGCAGUGUCUAUAAGAGCAUUUUGGUGACAAGCCAGGACAAGGCUCCAAGUGUCAUCAGUCGUGUCCUUAAGAAAAACAAUCGUGACUCUGCAGUGGCUUCAGAGUAUGAGCUGGUACAGCUGCUACCAGGGGAGCGAGAGCUGACUAUCCCAGCCUCGGCUAACGUAUUCUACGCCAUGGAUGGAGCUUCACAUGAUUUCCUCCUGCGGCAGCGGCGAAGGUCCUCUACUGCUACACCUGGCGUCACCAGUGGCCCGUCUGCCUCAGGAACUCCUCCGAGUGAGGGAGGAGGGGGCUCCUUUCCCAGGAUCAAGGCCACAGGGAGGAAGAUUGCACGGGCACUGUUCUGAGGAGGAAGCCCCGUUGGCUUACAGAAGUCAUGGUGUUCAUACCAGAUGUGGGUAGCCAUCCUGAAUGGUGGCAGUUAUAUCACAUUGAGACAGAAAUUCAGAAAGGUAGCCAGCCACCCUGGGGCAGUGAAGUGCCACUGGUUUACCAGACAGCUGAGAAAUCCAGCCCUGUGGGAACUGGUGUCUUGUAACCAGGUUGGAUACCUGUGUGUAGCUUCCAAUCUUCCAUGAGUGCAGCACACAGGUAGUGCUGGAAAAACGCAUCAGUUUCUGAUUCUUGGCCAUAUCUUAACAUGCAAGGGCCAAGCAAAGGCCUCAAGGUUCUGAGCCCCAGGGCAGAGGGGAAUGGCAAAAAGUAGGUCCUCGCAAGAGCUCUUCUUCCCACUCUGGGGGUUUCUAUCACUGUGACAACACUAAGAUAAUAAACCAAAACACUACCUGAAUUCUA